rnacentral:rRNA from 1 species
UUUGGUUAAGUUAGAAAGGGCGCACGGUGGAUGCCUUGACACUAGGAGUCGAUGAAGGACGGGACUAACGCCGAUAUGCUUCGGGGAGCUGUAAGUAAGCUUUGAUCCGAAGAUUUCCGAAUGGGGAAACCCACCAUACGUAAUGGUAUGGUAUCCUUAUCUGAAUACAUAGGGUAAGGAAGACAGACCCAGGGAACUGAAACAUCUAAGUACCUGGAGGAAGAGAAAGCAAAUGCGAUUUCCUGAGUAGCGGCGAGCGAAACGGAACAUAGCCCAAACCAAGAGGCUUGCCUCUUGGGGUUGUAGGACAUUCUAUACGGAGUUACAAAGGAACGAGGUAGACGAAGCGACCUGGAAAGGUCCGUCGUAGAGGGUAACAACCCCGUAGUCGAAACUUCGUUCUCUCUUGAAUGUAUCCUGAGUACGGCGGAACACGUGAAAUUCCGUCGGAAUCUGGGAGGACCAUCUCCCAAGGCUAAAUACUCCCUAGUGAUCGAUAGUGAACCAGUACCGUGAGGGAAAGGUGAAAAGCACCCCGGAAGGGGAGUGAAAGAGAUCCUGAAACCGUGUGCCUACAAAUAGUCAGAGCCCGUUAACGGGUGAUGGCGUGCCUUUUGUAGAAUGAACCGGCGAGUUACGAUCCCGUGCGAGGUUAAGCUGAAGAGGCGGAGCCGCAGCGAAAGCGAGUCUGAAUAGGGCGUUUAGUACGUGGUCGUAGACCCGAAACCAGGUGAUCUACCCAUGUCCAGGGUGAAGUUCAGGUAACACUGAAUGGAGGCCCGAACCCACGCACGUUGAAAAGUGCGGGGAUGAGGUGUGGGUAGCGGAGAAAUUCCAAUCGAACCUGGAGAUAGCUGGUUCUCCCCGAAAUAGCUUUAGGGCUAGCCUUAAGUGUAAGAGUCUUGGAGGUAGAGCACUGAUUGGACUAGGGGUCCUCAUCGGAUUACCGAAUUCAGUCAAACUCCGAAUGCCAAUGACUUAUCCUUAGGAGUCAGACUGCGAGUGAUAAGAUCCGUAGUCAAAAGGGAAACAGCCCAGACCGCCAGCUAAGGUCCCAAAGUGUGUAUUAAGUGGAAAAGGAUGUGGAGUUGCUUAGACAACUAGGAUGUUGGCUUAGAAGCAGCCACCAUUUAAAGAGUGCGUAAUAGCUCACUAGUCGAGUGACUCUGCGCCGAAAAUGUACCGGGGCUAAAUACACCACCGAAGCUGCGGAUUGAUACCAAUGGUAUCAGUGGUAGGGGAGCGUUCUAAGGACAGUGAAGUCAGACCGGAAGGACUGGUGGAGUGCUUAGAAGUGAGAAUGCCGGUAUGAGUAGCGAAAGACGGGUGAGAAUCCCGUCCACCGAAUGCCUAAGGUUUCCUGAGGAAGGCUCGUCCGCUCAGGGUUAGUCAGGACCUAAGCCGAGGCCGACAGGCGUAGGCGAUGGACAACAGGUUGAUAUUCCUGUACCACCUCUUUAUCGUUUGAGCAAUGGAGGGACGCAGAAGGAUAGAAGAAGCGUGCGAUUGGUUGUGCACGUCCAAGCAGUUAGGCUGAUAAGUAGGCAAAUCCGCUUAUCGUGAAGGCUGAGCUGUGAUGGGGAAGCUCCUUAUGGAGCGAAGUCUUUGAUUCCCCGCUGCCAAGAAAAGCUUCUAGCGAGAUAAAAGGUGCCUGUACCGCAAACCGACACAGGUAGGCGAGGAGAGAAUCCUAAGGUGUGCGAGAGAACUCUGGUUAAGGAACUCGGCAAAAUGACCCCGUAACUUCGGGAGAAGGGGUGCUUUCUUAACGGAAAGCCGCAGUGAAUAGGCCCAAGCGACUGUUUAGCAAAAACACAGCUCUCUGCGAAGCCGUAAGGCGAAGUAUAGGGGGUGACACCUGCCCGGUGCUGGAAGGUUAAGGAGAGGGGUUAGCGUAAGCGAAGCUCUGAACUGAAGCCCCAGUAAACGGCGGCCGUAACUAUAACGGUCCUAAGGUAGCGAAAUUCCUUGUCGGGUAAGUUCCGACCCGCACGAAAGGUGUAACGAUUUGGGCACUGUCUCAACCAGAGACUCGGUGAAAUUAUAGUACCUGUGAAGAUGCAGGUUACCCGCGACAGGACGGAAAGACCCCGUGGAGCUUUACUGUAGCCUGAUAUUGAAUUUUGGUACAGUUUGUACAGGAUAGGCGGGAGCCAU